CAAAUGCGUCCUACUUUGCCCUGAAUUCUAAGGAUGGUCUGAUGUAUCCUUCAUGUCCUACUAUAUCCCAGGAUUCAUUGCGGGUCAUAGAGGAGAUUUGUUUCUGAUAACGAUGGUGGUCGAAGCAGGAGAGGAAAACACUUUCAAAUGACAAUUCUGGAGAGGAUGGGCCUGCAGGGGAAAGUCACCCCCUUGCAGGCCAGAAGACAUGAGAUAACUUUAAAGAAUACAAAGAUUGCAAGUAUCCAGGCUCAGGAGAGGGGGUCAGUGGGAAGCCCACUGCUGCUACUUGGCCCUGGUUUGCCCUCAUGGAUGAGGUGAUAGGACAGAUGCCUUCCAUUAAGCCUCCUGUCCUAAUUUCCUCUCUCCCUGAGGACACUCCAGGGCCAAGCGCAGCAGUGGGUGACCAAAACAACAGUGAUGACGAAGCGGCUCAGCCACCUACGACAGGGAGAAAGAGGAAAAGAGACGGGGAUGAUGAGCUGCUAGACCUCAUCAGAGAGGACAUGAGGCAGCAAGGAGAGGCUGAGGAGAGGA
ensembl:lncRNA